UACGUAGGGUGCAAGCGUUGUCCGGAAUUAUUGGGCGUAAAGAGCUCGUAGGCGGUUUGUCACGUCUGCUGUGAAAUCCCGAGGCUCAACCUCGGGCCUGCAGUGGGUACGGGCAGACUGGAGUGCGGUAGGGGAGAAUGGAAUUCCUGGUGUAGCGGUGGAAUGCGCAGAUAUCAGGAGGAACACCAAUAGCGAAGGCAGCUCGCUGGGACGGUACUGACACUAAGGCGCGAAAGCGUGGGGAGCGAACAGG
rnacentral:rRNA from 1 species